GAUGAACGCUGGCGGCGUGCCUAAUACAUGCAAGUCGAGCGAACAGACGAGGAGCUUGCUCCUCUGACGUUAGCGGCGGACGGGUGAGUAACACGUGGAUAACCUACCUAUAAGACUGGGAUAACUUCGGGAAACCGGAGCUAAUACCGGAUAAUAUAUUGAACCGCAUGGUUCAAUAGUGAAAGACGGCUUUGCUGUCUCUUAUAGAUGGAUCCGCGCCGGAUUAGCUAGUUGGUAAGGUAACGGCUUACCAAGGCAACGAUGCGUAGCCGACCUGAGAGGGUGAUCGGCCACACUGGAACUGAGACACGGUCCAGACUCCUACGGGAGGCAGCAGUAGGGAAUCUUCCGCAAUGGGCGAAAGCCUGACGGAGCAACGCCGCGUGAGUGAUGAAGGUCUUCGGAUUGUAAAACUCUGUUAUUAGGGAAGAACAAAUGUGUAAGUAACUAUGCACGUCUUGACGGUACCUAAUCAGAAAGCCACGGCUAACUACGUG
rnacentral:rRNA from 1 species